CCCGCAUUUGGGCAUUCAACAUGAUCUUAAUUUCCAAUACACUGUUGGUGAGUUGUAUGGAGGAGAUAGAAGGCUCUCAAGCUCCAUUCUCGACAAGGUUACCACUACAAAAGGUCAAAACCACGAUUGCUAUCUCGUUUGGGCAAAGGCCCAACACUUUUCUUCAUCGAGUCCGAGCCCAGAACUUGAAGGCCUAACCAUGGGUGAAAAUGGUUAACUGGUGGGUUCGGUAGGCCCACCAGCCUUUCGUAUCUUUUAUUUCUUUCAUGUAUGUUUAUGUAAGCGGAUGCUUGGUAAAAUAUUUGAACCCGUAUGGUUAUAACUUAGUUGAAAUUGGCCAAACAAAGCGUAUAUCGUUUAGAAUGGACAGGAGCCCGAAUCGUUUUCAAA